rnacentral:rRNA from 1 species
UGGUGGAGUGAUUUGUCUGGUUAAUUCCGUUAACGAACGAGACCUCAGCCUAUUAAUUAGUUUGCCCAAUUCUUUAUUGGCGUAAACAUCUUAGAGGGACAAGCGGCAUAUAGCCGCACGAAAAUGAGCAAUAACA